UCGGGAAUUUUGGGCAAUGGGCGAAAGCCUGACCCAGCAACGCCGCGUGAAGGAUGAAGUAUUUCGGUAUGUAAACUUCGUAAGAAUAGGAAGAAUAAAUGACGGUACUAUUUGUAAGGUCCGGCUAACUACGUGCCAGCAGCCGCGGUAAUACGUAGGGACCAAGCGUUGUUCGGAUUUACUGGGCGUAAAGGGCGCGUAGGCGGUGUGUCAAGUCAGUUGUGAAAUCUCCGAGCUUAACUCGGAACGGUCAACUGAUACUGUCACACUAGAGUACAGAAGGGGCAAUCGGAAUUCUUGGUGGAGCGGUGAAAUGCGUAGAGAUCGGAAAGAACACCAACGGCGAAAGCACUCUGCUGGGCCGACACUGACACUGAGAGACGAAAGCUAGGGGAGCAAAUGGGAUUAGAUACCCCCGUAGUCCCUGAGCGGGCUGGCAAGGCGCAU
rnacentral:rRNA from 1 species